ensembl:misc_RNA Y_RNA Y RNA
GGCUGGGCCAAAGGUUGGGAUUUAUAUCAAUUGAUUGUUCACAGUCAGUUACAGACCAAACUCCUUGUUCUAUUCUUUUCCCUCUUCUUACUAUUGCACUUGAUUAGACUUUA